AUUGAACGCUGGCGGCAUGCCUUACACAUGCAAGUCGAACGGUAACGGGUCUUCGGAUGCUGACGAGUGGCGCACGGGUGAGUAAUACAUCGGAACGUGCCUAGUAGUGGGGGAUAACUACUCGAAAGAGUGGCUAAUACCGCAUGAGAUCUACGGAUGAAAGCAGGGGAUCGCAAGACCUUGUGCUACUAGAGCGGCCGAUGGCAGAUUAGGUAGUUGGUGGGAUAAAAGCUUACCAAGCCGACGAUCUGUAGCUGGUCUGAGAGGACGAUCAGCCACACUGGGACUGAGACACGGCCCAGACUCCUACGGGAGGCAGCAGUGGGGAAUUUUGGACAAUGGGCGCAAGCCUGAUCCAGCAAUGCCGCGUGCAGGAUGAAGGCCUUCGGGUUGUAAACUGCUUUUGUACGGAACGAAAAGCCCUGGGUUAAUACCCUGGGGUCAUGACGGUACCGUAAGAAUAAGCACCGGCUAACUACGUG
rnacentral:rRNA from 1 species